rnacentral:lncRNA from 1 species
GAGGGAUUAAAUGAGAGGUAGCCGACUUUGUUUUCAAGUGUCUAGUAUGCCAACAGGUUAAGACAAAGCAUCAACGUCCAAGCGGGUUAUUUCAGCCAUUACCGAUCCCGGAGUGAAAGUGAAAACAUAUCACAAAUGUCUUUGUUUCCAAGUGUCUAAUAUGCCAACAGAGUACGACAGAACAUCAACGUCCAGGCGGGUUACUUCAGCCAUUACCAAUCCCCGAGUGGAAGUAAAAACAUAUCAUAAUGGAUUCC